UAGGGAAUCUUCGGCAAUGGACGGAAGCCUGACCGACCAACCCCGCGGGAGUGAAGAAGGUUUUCGGAUGGUAAAGCUCUGUUGUUAGAGAAGAACGUUGGUAGGAGUGGAAAUUCUACCAAGUGACGGUCACUAACCAGAAAGGGACGGCCAACUACGCGCCAGUAGCCGCGGUAAUACGUAGUUCCCGAGCGUUGUCCGGAUUUAUUGGGCGUAAAGCGAGCGCAGGCGGUUCUUUAAGUCUGAAGUUAAAGGCAGUGGCUUAACCAUUGUACGCUUUGGAAACUGGAGGACUUGAGUGCAGAAGGGGGGGGUGGAAUUCCAUGUGUAGCAGUGAAAUGCGUAGAUAUAUGGAGGAACACCGGUGGCGAAAGCGGCUCUCUGGUCUGUAACUGACGCUGAGGCUCGAAAGCGUGGGGAGCAAACAGG
rnacentral:rRNA from 1 species